UACGUAGGGUGCGAGCGUUAAUCGGAUUUACUGGGCGUAAAGCGUGCGCAGGCGGCCCGUUAAGACAGGUGUAAAAUCCCUGGGCUCAACCUAGGAAUUGCGCUUGUGACUGGCGGGCUCGAGUACGGUAGAGGGGGGUGGAAUUCCUGGUGUAGCAGUGAAAUGCGUAGAGAUCAGGAGGAACACCGAUGGCGAAGGCAGCCCCCUGGGCCUGUACUGACGCUCAUGCACGAAAGCGUGGGGAGCAAACAGG
rnacentral:rRNA from 1 species